GCCAGGGAACUAAAGACCAGUCAGCCUGACUUCCAUAUGAGGGAAGCUACUAGAGCAAUGUAUAAAACAUUCAAUUUGCGAAUACCUGGAGAAUGAAGGGGUAAAUCACUAGCAGCAACAAGGAUUUCCCAAGAACAAAUCAUGCCAAACCACCUUGAUUUCCCUCUUUGACGGGGUAACUGGCCUGGUGCAUAGGGGAAUGCAGUGAACAUAAUAUACCUGGACUUCACAAAGGCUUCUGACACAAUCCCACAUGACAUUCUGAUAAGUAAGCUGAAGAAAUGUGGGCUUGGCAGAAUUACCAUUAAGUGUAUGGCUACAUAAUUGGCUAAAAAGCCAAAAAAAGUAAUUAUUAAUGAAAUGCUGUCAGAUUGGAGGGAGGUCUCAAGUGGGGUUCCACAGGGAUCUGUUCUGGGGCCGGUGUUGUUUAACAUCCUUAUUAAUGACCUAGAUGUAGGUAUAGAAAACAUAUUGAUCAAGUUUUCAGAUGACACAAAGCUGAGGGUGAGGCCAAUACUUGGGAGGAAAGAACUAAAAUUCAAAGGGAUCUUGAUAACUUGGAGAAUUGGGCUAUAGACAACACAAUGAAAUUCAACAAAGACAAAUGCAAAGUACUCGACUUAGGAAGGACCAAUCAGUUGCACACAUACAAAAUGGGAAAUGACUGUCUAGGAAGGAGCACUGCAGAAAGGGAUCUGGGGUCAUAGUGGACCACAAGCUAAAUAUAAGUCAAUAGUAUCACACUGUUGCA